CAGGAUCAAAGCUGACAGGGUCCCUCUGUGUCCUGCCAGGCUCAGCUCCUCUGCACGAGGAGGGUUUGUGUGGUGAUUAGAGAUGAAAGGUAUUUUCUCCCGAGGAGGAAUCCCCCUCUCUCCUCAAGAGCCAGAUCUUUUUAGGCGCUGAAAGCGCCUACACAGAGUUAACCUGAGCCUGCCCGUGCAUCCCGUCCUGCAGCAUAUGGAGAGACAAUUCCAGGCCAUCUGGAUCAUCAGCAGCCAUCAGUAACGGCGCCUGUUACACCUGUUAGGAAGCAGGAUAAUUAAAGGGGGGGAUGAUACUGCACUCCCAGCUUUGCUGCAUUUUAUCAAUCCCUGCUUGUCCCUUUUGGCUGCAGGACCAAAGCCCUGCUUUGCAAUUUGCGAAACAAAACCCAUUUGCAUCAGGCAGAAAUAAA